CGGCGUGCUUAACACAUGCAAGUCGAACGGUGAUGGCCAGCUUGCUGGUCUGAUCAGUGGCGAACGGGUGAGUAACACGUGAGCAACCUACCCCAGACUCUGGAAUAACCAUGGGAAACGAUGGCUAAUACCGGAUACGAGACGCACACGCAUGUGUGGUGUCUGGAAAGAUUUAUCGGUCUGGGAUGGGCUCGCGGCCUAUCAGCUUGUUGGUGGGGUAGUGGCCCACCAAGGCGACGACGGGUAGCCGGCCUGAGAGGGCGACCGGCCACACUGGGACUGAGAUACGGCCCAGACUCCUACGGGAGGCAGCAGUGGGGAAUAUUGCACAAUGGGCGCAAGCCUGAUGCAGCGACGCCGCGUGAGGGAUGACGGCCUUCGGGUUGUAAACCUCUUUCAGCAGGGAAGAAGCGAAAGUGACGUAC
rnacentral:rRNA from 1 species